UGUAGCUCAGUGGUAGAGUACAUGCCUAAUGCAUAAGGCACUGGGUUCAAACCCUAGCA
rnacentral:tRNA from 1 species